AGUGAACGCUGGCGGUAGGCCUAACACAUGCAAGUCGAACGGCAGCACAGUAAGAGCUUGCUCUUACGGGUGGCGAGUGGCGGACGGGUGAGGAAUACAUCGGAAUCUACUUUUUCGUGGGGGAUAACGUAGGGAAACUUACGCUAAUACCGCAUACGACCUACGGGUGAAAGCAUGGGAUCUUCGGACCUUUCGCGAUUGAAUGAGCCGAUGUCGGAUUAGCUAGUUGGCGGGGUAAAGGCCCACCAAGGCGACGAUCCGUAGCUGGUCUGAGAGGAUGAUCGGCCGCACUGGAACUGAGACACGGUCCAGACUCCUACGGGAGGCAGCAGUGGGGAAUAUUGGACAAUGGGCGCAAGCCUGAUCCAGCCAGACCGCGUGGGUGAAGAAGGCCUUCGGGUUGUAAAGACCUUUUGUUGGGAAAGAAAAGCAGCAGGUUAAUACCCCGCUGUUCUGACGGUACCCAAAGAAUAAGCACCGGCUAACUUCGUG
rnacentral:rRNA from 1 species